UCAAGUUAUUAAGGGUGCAGGGCGGAUGCCUUGGCACUAGGAGCCGAUGAAGGACGUGAUAAGCUGCGAUAAGCUUCGGGGAGUUGCACGUAAACUUUGAUCCGAAGAUUUCCGAAUGAGGAAACUCACUUAGAGUAAUGUCUAAGUAUCAUUAAGUGAAUACAUAGCUUAAUGAGGGGAACUCAGGGAACUGAAACAUCUAAGUACCUGAAGGAAGAGAAAGAAAUUCGAUUCCGUAAGUAGCGGCGAGCGAACGCGGAUUAGCCCAAACCAAUAAAGUUUUCUUUAUUGGGGUUGCGGACAUAUCAUAACGAAGAGGUAUCGUAAUUGAAGAGGUUUGGAAAGACCCACCACAGAAGGUAAUAGUCCUGUAUGUUAAACGAGAAGACUUCAGAUAUGAUCCAGAGUACCACGGGACACGUGAAACCCUGUGGGAAGCAGGAGGGACCACCCUCCAAGGCUAAAUACUACCUAGUGACCGAUAGCGUAUAGUACCGUGAGGGAAAGGUGAAAAGAACCCCGGGAGGGGAGUGAAAUAGAACCUGAAACCCUGCACUUACAAGCUGUGGAAGCACAUUUCUUGUGUGACCGCGUACUUUUUGUAGAACGGGCCAACGAGUUACGUUAAGUAGCAAGGUUAAGCACUUAAGGUGUGGAGCCGUAGCGAAAGCGAGUUUUAACUGAGCGUUCAGUUACUUGACGUAGACCCGAAACCGGGCGACCUACCCAUGAGCAGGAUGAAGCGAAAGUAAAAUUUCGUGGAGGUCCGAACCCACGAGCGUUGAAAAGCUCGGGGAUGACUUGUGGGUAGCGGUGAAAUUCCAAUCGAGCCCGGAGAUAGCUGGUUCUCCCCGAAAUAGCUUUAGGGCUAGCCUCAAGGUGAGAGAUACGGAGGUAGAGCACUGAAUGUCCUAGGGGGUAUUGCACCUACCGAAGACUAUCAAACUCCGAAUGCCGUCAUCUUAUACUUGGGAGUCAGACUGUGGGUGAUAAGAUUCAUAGUCGAAAGGGCAACAGCCCAGAUCGUCAGCUAAGGUCCCUAAAUGUAAGUUAAGUGGUAAAGGAUGUGGGAUUGCACAGACAACCAGGAUGUUGGCUUAGAAGCAGCCACUCAUUCAAAGAGUGCGUAAUAGCUCACUGGUCGAGUGAUCCUGCGCCGAAGAUUUCCGGGGCUAAAACUUACUACCGAAGCUACGGCAUCAGUAAUGAUGGGUAGGGGAGCUUCCCAUACGGGUUGAAGCAUGACCGUAAGGACAUGUGGACAGUAUGGGAGUGAGAAUGUUGGCAUGAGUAGCGAGAUGUGGGUGAGAAUCCCACAGGCCGUAAACCCAAGGUUUCCAGGGGAAGGUUCGUCCGCCCUGGGUUAGUCGGGACCUAAGCUGAGGCCGAAAGGCGUAGGUGAUGGACAACAGGUUGAUAUUCCUGUACUACCGAUAACCGUUUGAGAGAAGGGAUGACACAGUAGGAUAAGCUAAGCACACUGUUGGUUAUGUGUGCCCAAGCAUUGAGGCAGUCAAAGUAGGCAAAUCCGCUUUGAUAAUGCUGGGAUGUGAUGGGGAGCGAAAUUUAGUAGCGAAGUAGCUGAUUUCACACUGUCAAGAAAAGUCUCUAUCGAGGUUAAAGGUACCCGUACCGCAAACCGACACAGGUGGGUGAGGAGAGUAUCCUAAGGCCAGCGAGAGAACUGUUGUUAAGGAACUCGGCAAAAUGACCCCGUAACUUAGGGAUAAGGGGUGCCACCAUCAGGUGGCCGCAGAGAAUAGGCCCAAGCGACUGUUUACCAAAAACAUAGGUUUCUGCUAAGUCGCAAGACGAUGUAUAGGAGCUGACGCCUGCCCGGUGCUGGAAGGUUAAGGGGAUCUGUUAGAGCAAUCGAAGCAGUGAACUUAAGCCCCAGUAAACGGCGGCCGUAACUAUAACGGUCCUAAGGUAGCGAAAUUCCUUGUCGGGUAAGUUCCGGCCCGCACGAAAGGCGUAACGAUUUGGGCACUGUCUCAACAACAGACUCGGUGAAAUUGUAAUUCCGGUGAAGAUGCCGGAUACCUGCGACAGGACGGAAAGACCCCAUGGAGCUUUACUGUAGCUUGACAUUGGGUCUUGGUACUACAUGUACAGGAUAGGUGGGAGGCUUUGAAACCAGGACGCCAGUUUUGGCGGAGCCAUCCUUGGGAUACCACCCUUGUAGUACUGGGACUCUAACCAUAGGCCAUGAAUCUGGUCUUGGGACACUGUCAGGUGGGCAGUUUGACUGGGGCGGUCGCCUCCCAAAAGGUAACGGAGGCGCUCAAAGGUUCUCUCAGUACGGUCGGAAAUCGUACGUAGAGUGUAAAGGCAAAAGAGAGCUUGAUUGCAAGACAUACAGGUCGAGCAAGGAUGAAAAUCGGACUUAGUGAUCCGGUGGUUCUGCGUGGAAGGGCCAUCGCUCAACGGAUAAAAGCUACCCUGGGGAUAACAGGCUUAUCUCCCCCAAGAGUCCACAUCGACGGGGAGGUUUGGCACCUCGAUGUCGGCUCAUCACAUCCUGGGGCUGUAGUAGGUCCCAAGGGUUGGGCUGUUCGCCCAUUAAAGUGGUACGCGAGCUGGGUUCAGAACGUCGUGAGACAGUUCGGUCCCUAUCCGUCGCAGGCGUAGGAAAUUUGAGAAGACCUGUCCUUAGUACGAGAGGACCGGGAUGGACGUACCUCUGGUGUACCAGUUGUUCUGCCAAGGGCAUGGCUGGGUAGCUAUGUACGGAAUGGAUAAGCGCUGAAAGCAUCUAAGCGCGAAGCCAACUUCAAGAUAAGAUUUCCCACCGCAAGGGUAAGACCCCAGAAAGACUAUCUGGUUGAUAGGUCGAAGGUGUAAGUGCAGCAAUGUAUUUAGCUUAUCGAUACUAAUAGGUCGAGGACUUGACCAA
rnacentral:rRNA from 1 species